GAUGAAGAACGCAGCGAAAUGCGAUAAAUAGUGUGAAUUGCAGAAUUCAGUGAAUCAUCGAAUCUUUGAACGCACAUUGCGCCCUUUGGUAUUCCAAAGGGCAUGCCUGUUCGAGCGUCAUUUGUACCCUCAAGCUUUGCUUGGUGUUGGGCGUCUUGUCUCUAGCUUUGCUGGAGACUCGCCUUAAAGUAAUUGGCAGCCGGCCUACUGGUUUCGGAGCGCAGCACAAGUCGCACUCUCUAUCAGCAAAGGUCUAGCAUCCAUUAAGCCUUUUUUUCAACUUUUGACCUCGGAUCAGGUAGGGAUACCCGCUGAACUUAAGCAUAUCAAUAAGCGGAGGA
rnacentral:misc_RNA from 1 species